GUGCCAGCAGCUGCGGUAAGACGAGGGGUCCAAGCGUUGUUCGGAAUUAUUGGGCGUAAAGCGGGUGUAGGUGGCUCUAUAAGUCAGGAGUGAAAUCCCCGAGCUUAACUUGGGAAGUGCUUUUGAUACUGUAGAGCUUGAGUGUGGGAGAGGAUCGUAGAAUUCCAGGUGUAGUGGUGAAAUACGUAGAUAUCUGGAGGAAUACCGGUGGCGAAGGCGGCGAUCUGGCCCAACACUGACACUGAGACCCGAAAGCGUGGGAUCAAACAGGAUUAGAUACCCUGGUAGUCCACGCCGUAAACGAUGGAUACUUGUUGUGGAGGUAUUGACCCCUU
rnacentral:rRNA from 1 species